rnacentral:misc_RNA from 1 species
UCCGGUUUGUCACCGGCAGUCUCAUUAGAGUGCCCAACUGAAUGUAGCAACUAAUGACAAGGGUUGCGCUCGUUGCGGGACUUAACCCAACAUCUCACGACAUGAGCUGACGACAGCCAUGCAGCACCUGUGUUCCGGUUCCCUUUCGGGCACAGCCUGAUCUCUCAAGCCUUCCGGACAUGUCAGGGGUAGGUAAGGUUUUUCGCGUUGCAUCGAAUUAAUCCACAUAAUCCACCGCUUGUGCGGGUCCCCGUCAAUUCCUUUGAGUUUUAACCUUGCGGCCGUACUCCCCAGGCGGAUAACUUAAUGCGUUAGCUGCGCCACCAAAACCCUAAGGGCCCUGACAGCUAGUUAUCAUCGUUUACGGCGUGGACUAC